rnacentral:rRNA from 1 species
UACGUAGGGACCAAGCGUUGUUCGGAUUUACUGGGCGUAAAGGGCGCGUAGGCGGCCCCGCAAGUCACUUGUGAAAUCUCCGGGCUUAACUCGGAACUGCCAAGUGAAACUGCGAGGCUAGAGUGCAGAAGGGGCAAUCGGAAUUCUUGGUGUAGCGGUGAGAUGCGUAGAUAUCAAGAGGAACACCUGAGGUGAAGACGGGUUGCUGGGCUGACACUGACGCUGAGGCGCGAAAGCCAGGGGAGCAAACGGG